AGUAUAGGAACGAAUGCUAAAACCGUCACAUCCCGUGACAACGCAUUUGUGACCAGUGUCGUGCCGG
rnacentral:sRNA from 1 species